AUCAGAAUGAACUAUGGCAUUUCUCCCAAUUGCGUCCGAGUUUAUCCGGGGUGCACCUUGGGCAGCUGACACAUUGACGGUCUUCCUGAUGAGAGCUUUGGGGUCAAACUUUUCCUGUUUCUGUCAUUUAUUGAGCAUUUCCUGUCCGUUCGGAUGACUACAGGCCGCCUCGUCUGCCUCAACUACCUUGGCGUGGGCUUCCCCUGCCAGCACAUCACUGCUUCCCUAAGUCAACUGAUUCCUAGUUGAGAAUCAGCCAGCCCACCUGACUGCAGACACACACCGCGUCGUCAAGGUCGGCCUCAUCAGCCACGCGUGUGCUGUUUUGGCCUGCAGAGGCUGGUUCCUCUGACUGACUUGGCAGACGGCUCAGAACUCACGGCACUGGUCACCCUCCCUAGUCUGGCAUCUGCCCUCACCACUGGGACGUAGCCGUGCCUCUGCGGGGAUGGCUACGGGGAACCAUCUUCCUGAAUCUUGAUCGGAGGGCCCUGGAGGAGCGGACCUCUUCUCUUUUGGCUGCUGAACUGAGAUGGGAAGGCGGCUCGAUUCCGGCCAUCCUGUGCCCUACGCAUCCUGCACACAUGGCCAAAAUGUUGAGACCGCAGAGCAGAGAGAUAGAAAGACGGGCUAUUUGGGUCAUGGUGGGAUUACCAAUCCCCUAGCCGUUCUGCCCUCCAUGUGUGAGCCAACAGUCACCUCCAUUGUCCACAUCGCCUCAGGUCGAGGUUUCAGCGACUUGCAGACCUUUGUGUUCUCUUGGCUUCAACUAUCGUUGACUUGCAGACUAUGCGCACGUUGGCACCGUGCCAGACUAAUCCUCAGAGUCUGGAAUGCGCAAAGCUUCAGUACCUAGUUAGGUCAAAGACUCCUUUAGCGCAGGAAGCCUGAAGACCACACUGUGAUCUGUCCCCUUACACCUGUUACCCUCCCACAUUCCGCACUGGACCGUGUGCUGCCCACACCCAUCCUGCUAUGCAAGUAGAGACCUGGACGCCCUCCCUGGUACCCCCUUCUCCCUCACCCUUCCUAGCCAAACCUCCAGCCUAGAAAGUCUCUCUCAUGCUGCUUCUCCUCUCGUCCUCAUCGCCUGUCCCCCAGGACACGUCAUCACCCCUGUCUUCCGGCCUCGGACUCCCCGAUCGCGUGUCUGCUAUCAACCCUCCCCUGUCUCCCUACAUGGUCAUCGCAUGACCCCCCGACCAGGCCCGUUUUCAUUCACCAUCGUGUCACCAGAGCCCAACACUGUGAUGUCACCUAGAACGUGCCAGUAAAGACUUGGUGCUCCCGGAGUGGGUCCCUUCCAGAGCGUAUGCACCCCCGGGGCGGGAGGCGCCUACGCACACAGUGCCGGAGGGUGGCCUAAUUUCUCAGGCCUCGUCGUUCCGCAGCCGGAAAGGCUGACAUUGGUGCAGGCCGUGUCUUGUCUGAUCACGUCCCCCUUGGGUACCGGCUAGGUAACAGGCCCUCUGGGCAGAUAGAGAGGACGAGGUCCACAGGGCCUGCAUCAGGGGCACAGACAGGCCGAGGGAAGCGCCCCUUCACACAGCUGGGUCUCGUAGCAGCUGCACCUAAAAGGGAGGUGGAGACAGAGCACAGAAAGUCAUGGUGUCUUCUCCCUGAACAGAUAUGACUUAAGGAGCCGGCCAGCGGCUCUGUCAUCAUGAUGGCGUCCCUCCACUGUACGUGCCGAAGUCACCGUGUGUCAUGCUGAGUGGCCCCACCGGCAGGUGCAUUUCCGAGUCAACCUGUGCGGUGAGCCUGGCCUUAGUGGAUGAGGAAGAAAGGGGGCAUGGGAAUCACAGCCUUGCCCAGGGGCUGGAGGCUGGCUCCCCAUCUGCCAGCAGCAGCAAAGCACCUGCAGAGAACCACUGGCCCCUCGGUCCAAGCUAAGGGCAGGAGGGAGACAAUUCGCAGCCACG